rnacentral:rRNA from 1 species
UACAGAGGGUGCAAACGUUGUUCGGAUUUACUGGGCGUAAAGCGCGUGUAGGCUGCUUCGCAAGUCGGAUGUGAAAGCCCUGGGCUCAACCCAGGAAGUGCAUUCGAAACUGCAGAGCUGGAGUCCUGGAGAGGAAGGCGGAAUUCUCGGUGUAGAGGUGAAAUUCGUAGAUAUCGAGAGGAACACCGGUGGCGAAGGCAGUUCUGCUGGGCCGUUACUGACGCUGAGGA